AUGAGCGGCUGUUUCCCCGCCCUCGGGGCUUCCAAUUAUGGAGCUCAGAAAGAUUGGAAGCCAAAGCAUGACCCCUUGUUUUGGACUCUGGACCCUCCCAGGGGCCCUCGUCCAGAUCGUGUUGCUUUAUUAACACAGGACAUGGGAAAAGCUGCUUCUAAUCCCAAAGGCAGGCCUGAGUUGGGCUGGGAACUGGGAGAGCAUUCUACGCGCAUUCUAUGUUGGGUCUUUGGGCAUAAAGUCAAACACAUGGAGCUGACCCUCAAGGUUUGGCUAAGUCACUCCAGGUGCUUCCAAUCCUGUCCCAUUUGAGAAGACUCCCAAGGAGCAGGAGGCUUGACUAGACACAACUGGCUUUGCCCCUGAACCCAAGGGGACAUGGCUGGAGGGAAUCUGCGUGCCCAGCAGCUUGGAAGGGCUUUCCAGGUAAGUGUGAAACUAUGAAGCGUGACUGUCCACUGAUACCUGGCACUUGGUUUCACCUGUUGGCUUCCAGGGCGGCGGGGUUUCUGUGCUUUUGAGAGACCAAGUUUAGAGUCCCAGGUGGGAGACUUGACGCUUGUAGUGGGUCUGUCCUUUCAUGGUGUAACCGAACUUCAGUCCUUCAAUAGCUUAUGCAAUUUUCAUUUCCUGCUCAGGAAAAACCCUCUUGGAGUGAUGAUGGCACUUAAAUUAUGGUGAUAAAAAUCUGGUUUUUUUUUCUCCUUCACUCUCCCAACUGGCUUCAAAUCCUCAUUUCUUAGGAUAACCUUAAUCCUCGGAGAGCUUCUCAAGACCAAUGUGGGGAAACUGAGGCCUGAGUCUAGACUUCAAUGAGAACCUGGAAGAGUGAGCUGCUUUUGCACAACCUCCCCCUCAACCCUUCUCUGCCAGUCAAGAUACCAGGCCCGUGUGACCUCGUUUCCUCUGCUCUCCCACCAAACCAGCAGACAUUCCUGACAGACCCCAGACUCUAAGGGCCUCGAUCCUGGACUUUGAGGAAAUUUAGUGGGGACCAGGACCCUGAAGACCGAAAGAACCCCUCAUUUGGGAGGGAGGGGGGAAGGAGCAAUUGCCAGGACAAGGUAGGUCCCUUGGCUCUUCCCACUGGAGGCUGGGGAAGGAGAACCUCCCCUGGGAAAGGGGAAGGUCUGUUACCUCGCUCGUGAUGUACACUUGCUUCCACAGGUUCCACCCACAGCACUGAGCAAGCCAAGGCACCAAACCCUCAAAGAAAACCUGGAAUUUCCUGCACAAGGAGGCCAUCUUUCAGAACCCUACCACAAAGCUGGUAGAAAACAAAAAGGGCUCUGGUUUUAGCUGGACCAACUCGAAGGUUGGCGUUUGAGAUUACAGCAAGAUGUGGGAGGGGAGAACAGUGGGGAAAGGUAGACUGUGGUCCCUUUACUGGCAAAGACCCUCAUCUUGCCAGGAUCUUCACUUUAAAGGCCCUGAAAACUAAGAUCCCUCCCGAAUACUCUUGAGGAAAUGCUAUUCUGAUAGGUGGCUAAAAUCAGACCUCUCUUUAGCCCCUUUAAAUUAGUGGGGUUUCCUAGGAUUAGGGUUCUCCAGCUGCAACAGCCACUCUGUGUCCAGCCUAAGCCUGUUCCACAUGGCUGCCAGGGGACUCGGGGGGCAAAGGGGACCCACGCAACUGAAGCUCCUGCUGGGGAGCACGUGGAAUGUGGCAGGUCUACUUGUUCACUGGCAAGUAAGGUAAAGUCUCCAGACCUCCCACUGUCCUUGACAGUUUUGGUAAGGAGAGUGGGAUGCUAAGACCUAGCUUUUCUGGGAAAGCAAGGACUGAUCCCUUGUAGGCUGGGUUAGGGGGUAGGAGAAGCAAAUAUCCUGGGACUCGGUGGCAGGUGCUGUCACCUUCUGCUGGUGGGUGAAGAGUCUCUCCGUGUUCUACUUGUGAAUGGGACUGUGUGGUGGGAGGUAGGAUGUAAACACGAAGCCCCAAUAGUCCUUUGGGUGGUUGCUCACCCUUCCAGUG
rnacentral:lncRNA from 1 species